UACGAAGGGGGCUAGCGUUGCUCGGAAUCACUGGGCGUAAAGGGUGCGUAGGCGGGUCUUUUAAGUCAGGGGUGAAAUCCUGGAGCUCAACUCCAGAACUGCCUUUGAUACUGAAGAUCUUGAGUUCGGGAGAGGUGAGUGGAACUGCGAGUGUAGAGGUGAAAAUUCGUAGAUAUUCGCAAGAACACCAGUGGCGAAGGCGGCUCACUGGCCCGAUACUGACGCUGAGGCACGAAAGCGUGGGGGAGCAAACAGG
rnacentral:rRNA from 1 species